rnacentral:rRNA from 1 species
AGGACGAACGCUGGCGGUGUGCUUAACACAUGCAAGUGGAGCGACGAACCAGGGCUUGCCCUGGGGCAGAGCCGCGAACGGGUGAGUAACACGUGGGUAACCUACCCCGAUGACCGGGACAACCCGAGGAAACUCGGGCUAAUACCGGAUGUGUUCCAUAUUCAUGAGGAAAUGGAACAAAGGAAGCGUUCGGCCUCCGCAGUUGGGAGGGCCCGCGGCCCAUUAGCUAGGUUGGUGGGUAACGGCCUACCGAAGGCAGCGAUGGGUAGCUGGUCUGAGAGGACGAUCAGCCACACGUGGACUGACGACACCGGCCCAAGACUCCGUACGGGAGGCAGCCAGGUGGGGAAUCGUUGCGCAAGUGCGGACGAACGCGGU